rnacentral:rRNA from 1 species
AAGACCUUGCGCUUUUGGAGCGGCCGAUGCCUGAUUAGCUUGUUGGUAAGGUAAAAGCUUACCAAGGCUUCGAUCAGUAGCUGGUCUGAGAGGACGACCAGCCACACUGGGACUGAGACACGGCCCAGACUCCUACGGGAGGCAGCAGUGGGGAAUUUUGGACAAUGGGGGCAACCCUGAUCCAGCCAUGCCGCGCGAGUGAAGAAGGCCUUCGGGUUGUAAAGCUCUUUCAGCCGGAACGAAACGGUUACGGAUAACACCCGUGACUACUGACGGUACCGGAAGAAGAAGCACCGGCUAACUACGUGCCAGCAGCCGCGGUAAUACGUAGGGUGCGAGCGUUAAUCGGAAUUACUGGGCGUAAAGCGUGCGCAGGUGGUUUUGUAAGUCAGAUGUGAAAGCCCCGGGCUCAACCUGGGAACU